GUCUCAGUCGCCAAGUGGCCUAAGGCUCUGGAUUGCAAACCCAGUAUUCGUCGGUUCAAAUCCGACCUGAGACU
rnacentral:tRNA from 1 species